CCUACGGGAGGCAGCAGUGGGGAAUUUUGGACAAUGGGCGCAAGCCUGAUCCAGCUAUUCCGCGUGUGGGAAGACGGCCUUCGGGUUGUAAACCACUUUUGUAGAGAACGAAAAGUCUAUUUAUAAUACCGAUAGAUGAUGACGGUACUCUAAGAAUAAGCACCGGCUAACUACGUGCCAGCAGCCGCGGUAAUACGUAGGGUGCGAGCGUUAAUCGGAAUUACUGGGCGUAAAGGGUUCGCAGGCGGUUUUGCAAGUUGGAUGUGAAGGCCCCGGGCUUAACGUGGGAAAGGCAUAUAUGACUGGAAGACUAGAGUGAGUGAGAGGGUGGUGGAAUUCCAAGUGUAGCAGUGAAAUGCGUAGAUAUUUGGAAGAACAGCGAUGGCGAAGGCAGCCCCCUGGGACGCAACUGACGCUGAGGCACGAAAGCGUGGGGAGCAAACAGGAUUAGAUACCCGAGUAGUC
rnacentral:rRNA from 1 species